rnacentral:rRNA from 1 species
GAUGAACGCUAGCGGCAGGCUUAAUACAUGCAAGUCGAGGGGCAGCAUGAUUGUAGCAAUACAAUUGAUGGCGACCGGCAAACGGGUGCGGAACACGUACACAACCUUCCAACAAGUGGGGGAUAGCCCAGAGAAAUUUGGAUUAAUACCCCGUAACAUAGCGAUGUGGCAUCACAUUGCUAUUAUAGAUUUUUCGCUUGUUGAUGGGUGUGCGGCUGAUUAGAUAGUUGGUGGGGUAACGGCCCACCAAGUCUACGAUCAGUAGCUGAUGUGGGAGCAUGAUCAGCCACACGGGCACUGAGACACGGGCCCGACUCCUACGGGAGGAAGCAGUAAGGAAUAUUGGACAAUGGACGCAAGUCUGAUCCAGCCAUGCCGCGUGAAGGAUUAAGGUCCUCUGGAUUGUAAACUUCUUUUAUAAGGGACGAAAAAAGGCUUUUCUAAGUCGUCUGACGGUACCUUAUGAAUAAGCACCGGCUAACUCCGUGCCAGCAGCCGCCGUAACAC